AGAGUUUGAUCCUGGCUCAGGGCGAACGCUGGCGGCGUGCUUAACACAUGCAAGUCGUACGAGACGAUUGAAAGCUUGCUUUUGAAAGUCGAGUGGCAAACGGGUGAGUAACGCGUAGACAACCUGCCGUAAAGAUGGGGACAACAGUUCGAAAGGACUGCUAAUACCGAAUGUUGUAGAGUUUUCGCAUGGGAAUCCUACUAAAGGUGGCCUCUACUUGUAAGCUAUCGCUUUACGAUGGGUCUGCGUCUGAUUAGCUAGUUGGUGGGGUAACGGCCUACCAAGGCGACGAUCAGUAGCCGGUCUGAGAGGAUGAACGGCCACAUUGGAACUGAGACACGGUCCAGACUCCUACGGGAGGCAGCAGUGGGGAAUCUUCCGCAAUGGGCGCAAGCCUGACGGAGCAACGCCGCGUGAGUGAAGAAGGGUUUCGACUCGUAAAGCUCUGUUGUUGGGGACGAAUGUGGAGAUGGUGAAUAACCAUUUUCAAUGACGGUACCUGACGAGGAAGCCACGGCUAACUACGUGCCAGCAGCCGCGGUAAUACGUAGGUGGCGAGCGUUGUCCGGAAUUAUUGGGCGUAAAGGGAGCGCAGGCGGGAAGGUAAGUCUAUCUUAAAAGUGCGGGGCUCAACCCCGUGAGGGGAUGGAAACUAUCUUUCUUGAGUGCAGGAGAGGAAAGCGGAAUUCCUAGUGUAGCGGUGAAAUGCGUAGAUAUUAGGAGGAACACCAGUGGCGAAGGCGGCUUUCUGGACUGUAACUGACGCUGAGGCUCGAAAGCGUGGGGAGCGAACAGGAUUAGAUACCCUGGUAGUCCACGCCGUAAACGAUGAAUGCUAGGUUGUAGGAGGUAUCGACCCCUUCUGUGCCGGAGUUAACGCAAUAAGCAUUCCGCCCUGGGGAGUACGGCCGCAAGGUUGAAACUCAAAGGAAUUGACGGGGGCCCGCCAAACCGGGGAGAUUAUUUGGGUUUAAUUCCAACCCAACCCGAAAAACUUUACCAGGCUUUGCAUUUGAUUGAAAGGGCUAAAAAUAAUUUCUCUCUCUUUCGGAGAACCGAAAACAAGGGGGGCGAUGGGUUCUCCAACCUCCUGGCCUGGAAAAUGUUGGGUUAAUUCCCCCACCAAAGGGGAACCCCUCUCUUUUGUUCCCCCACACCAAUGGGGGAAAUUAAAAGGAAAUCGCCCGGCAACCCGGAGGAAGGCGGGGAUGACGUCAAGUCAUCAUGCCCCUUAUGUCCUGGGCUACACACGUACUACAAUGGGAUGGACAGAGAGCAGCGAAGCCGCGAGGCCAAGCGAACCCCAUAAACCAUCUCCCAGUUCGGAUUGCAGGCUGCAACCCGCCUGCAUGAAGUUGGAAUCGCUAGUAAUCGCAGGUCAGCAUACUGCGGUGAAUACGUUCCCGGGCCUUGUACACACCGCCCGUC
rnacentral:rRNA from 1 species